UCUCGCCGGACCUGACUGCUAUCGGAUUGAUACUAAGCCAUGCGAGUCUUUGUAGUAAUACAAGGCAGACGGCUCAGUAACACGUAGUCAACCUACCCUAUGGACGAGAAUAAUCUCGGGAAACUGAGCAUAAUUCUUGAUAGAUCAUAAUGCCUGGAAUGGUUUAUGGUUAAAAUGAUUCGUCACCAUAGGAUGGGACUGCGGCCUAUCAGCUUGUUGGUGAGGUAAUGGCCCACCAAGGCGAUUACAGGUACGGGCUCUGAGAGGAGAAGCCCGGAGAUGGGUACUGAGACACGGACCCAGGCCCUAUGGGGCGCAGCAGGCGAGAAAACUUUGCAAUGUGCGAAAGCACGACAAGGUUAAUCCGAGUGAUUUCUGCUAAAGAAAUCUUUUGCCAGUCAUAAAACCACUGGUGGAUAAGGGGUGGGCAAGUUCUGGUGUCAGCCGCCGCGGUAAAACCAGCACCUCAAGUGGUCAGGAUGAUUAUUGGGCCUAAAGCAUCCGUAGCCGGCUUUGUUAGUUUUCGGUUAAAUCCAUGUGCUCAACGCAUGGGCUGCCGAAAAUACUGCAUAGCUAGGGAGUGGGAGAGGUAGACGGUACUCAGUAGGAAGGGGUAAAAUCCUUUGAUCUAUUGAUGACCACCUGUGGCGAAGGCGGUCUACCAGAACACGUUCGACGGUGAGGGAUGAAAGCUGGGGGAGCAAACCGGAUUAGAUACCCGGGUAGUCCCAGCCGUAAACGAUGCAGACUCGAUGAUGCAUUGGCAUAAUAGCCAAUGCAGUGUCGCAGGGAAGCCGUUAAGUCUGCCGCCUGGGAAGUACGUACGCAAGUAUGAAACUUAAAGGAAUUGGCGGGGGAGCACCACAAGGGGUGAAGCCUGCGGUUCAAU
rnacentral:rRNA from 1 species